ACACACUCUUUUUUGGGGAAAGAGGUUUUGUGCAAUAUGCGAUAGUGACAGCCGUUCUUAACUCCUGGUUAAGUUCAAACUUUGGUAUAUUUGAUGAUUAUGGAAGAAAGCUGAGAUACAGGACUCUUAAAUGAACUUACCAUUUGGUUAUGGUAAAAGGGGUCGAUGUCCUCAAGAGGUGUGCUGGCAAGUUCUGGAGGAAAACUCCCCUGGAGACGAACUGGUAAAGGUAGACCUUGCUCCAGAGUUGCAUCCGGCUGAGGACCUUCAUCUUCGUCCUCGUCCUCAUACCGAAUCUGUGACACAUCAAUCGAUUAAACACACUAUAAUAUUGAAGGUCACCUACAGUCAAAACAUCUGCUGAGAUAACGUCAUCGGUCUCUUUUGUGAAAGGAAUUUACCAGUUUCGUUUUUUCCUUACAGAGAAUGCUUUUUUUUUAUAAAACUAAGCCGUCUAAUCAACUAUCUAGUAUGUGUAAAAGUUACCAAACGUUAAUAGUUGAUUUCUAAGGUUUCGCGACCCCUUUGCUUUAGUGAGGAGUUAUCAUUUACUAAGAAGGCAAUUCUUUGAACAAUGGAUGUUUAGCGAACAAAAUAACAGAAACCAAGGCCUCUGGGACCUUAUUUUCAAAUCAGGUGAACUCUUACAUGGAGACAAAAAUCAGAAGUUCUCUCCGAUUUGAAAGUAAAACCGAGAAAGAUAUCCGAUGUGGGAGUUCACCAGAUUUGGAUACAUUAAUUUACUUUUCAUAUGAGGAAUAAAAAAAGUACUUACUAUCGUCUAUCGAUAAAAAAUAUUUCUUUGGUUACCAAUUAAAAAAUAUUCUUCACCAGACAGGUAUAUAUUCAUAUACCAUGUGAAAACAGUCCUUAUGAUUGACUGAACUUUGCUUUUUAUAUGUAUUGCUUUCUUGUGGUUGUAGAUAUUACAGAAAUUCCUGAUAACUCUGUUGGUUUCAUCCGAAACCGUUCUGUAGUAUAGGCAACCCAAUUUAAAAGCACUACGUUUCUGUUAUGGGAUAGUGGAAGUAUAGUCAAGUAACAUCCAAUUUGAGUAUCAGCUUUUUUAGAGCCAUUUCUUGCCUGCGCCUUGGAGGUAUCAUUUAUCCAUCCCAAAGCGAAGACAAUUUUUGGGAUAUCAUAAUGACUUCUCUCGUCAAGAAAUAACUGAGUCAGUAAAGAAGCCAUUGUCAGGCGGAAGGAGUGCUAUCGCCUCUGCUGAUAUUGAAGAUGACUUCACGACUUGAGGUCAUGUAGAUAGCCUAGUCGUCAAUAUAAGGGACAAGCAUAAUGUGAUGCAAUCAUUCAAAGCUUUGUUGAGUCAAGGAAGAACUCAAAUAUCAGUCACACUUUAAAUAUGAUACGUACAUUGUGCCUCUUGUUGAUCAAAUCUUCACAUUGUCAAAAAGGCAUCAGUUAAGGAAACUUAGAAAUCAACAAAUAAACGUUUCAAACUUGUCUACUUCAUACGACUUCAUUAUUCUUUUUAUUUUUUCAUUAUUUUUUGCAUUGUAUUCUUUGAAAAACUAACGAGAAUGAAAUUCAAUUAACUUUUCAUCAAAAAACUUGCCUGAGUCGAUUUCUUAAAGUCUAUUACAAUUUUGUAACUUGAAAUCACAAAUGAUGAACUCCAGAACUGUGGAAUUUUAAGGUUAGAAUAUUCAGAUGUAUUGCUUAAUUCAUUCCUGCUAUAUGUCGUAUUUAUUUCACUGUGUAUUGCUUUCACGAAAGUUCACCCACUUUCACAACUCUUGAAACGUUUUGAUACCUACAAAAGAUGAUAUUUUCAGAGAAAGUCUCUUUUGGAAUGAAGAGCUCGUCUCGAGCCUUAUCUCUUUUCAAUAGAAUAAGAGAGCAUAAGGAAAAUUCCACAUUUUUGUUUGCGGUCAUUAGGAUUUCACCGAUCGGAUUUCUGUCAAUCGAGUGUUGUUUUUUUUUUUUGUAAUUUGCGACGUAAUUUGCUUUUGAGCGAGGUAGUACCUGAACAUUUUAAAAUUCUGGUUGAUCAUUUUAAGCCAGAUGAAGUGACAACAAAAUCUUUGGACGAUAUCGUGAACGUACUAAACAAAUAUCAUGGUAAGACAAAAUAUAUUUUGUUUGAGAGAGUAGCAUUUGCGCUUCGUUAUCGGAAGGACAGUGAAAUCAUUACACAGUUUAUGAACACUCUUCGUGGACUGGCAGGAAAUUGUUAAUUUUUCGAUAGUUUGAAGGAACGUCUUCGAGAUCAACUAGUUAUUUGUAUCAAUAACAUGGCCUGGCAACAGAAAUUAAUUAGGUUACAUCCAAAUAAUACAGCCCUGGAAGAAAUUGAAGCAACAGCACUCAUUUUGGAACAGGCUUCGCUACAGUCGAGACAUCUUUCGAAUAUAUCAGGACAGUUUGAUGUCAAACAUACAAAUGCAGUAAAUUCAGGCUACAAACGAUCAAUUCGGUUUUCAGAACAUCUUGAACAUAACGACAGAAGUAAUAAAUUCAAACAAGAUGAAUACAAUAACACUCUGAUUUUGAAUAUGGAAAAAAAACGUUUAUCAUGUGGAAAAUCACGUCACAGGGGAAAAGACUCGUCCUGCUAAAAAUAAAAAGUGCUCAGCAUGUGGAGCAUUGAAUCAUUUCUGAAAAGAUUGCAAAACAACGGGACAUGCUCGAAUACAUAAUCAAAAAAAAAAUACAAGACAUGUACAUGACGCAGAAACGAAGAAUUGCAAUGAAAGUGGUGAUAGUUAUACCUCUACUAACACAACAAAUAUACGAAACAUAUAUUCCACAAACAAAA